ensembl:lncRNA
CACUCCUCUCCCUGGCAGCAAGCGAAAUGAAAAAGACCGCGUGCAACCAGAUGACAUAUCUUCCGUGAUGUAUGUUCCUUCUCUGACCGUGAGGUCCUCUGGGAUAUGUAGUUCUUCUCUUUUGUUCCUGAUGUUAUGACGUGGAAUACCAAUAGCAAAGUUACAAAACCAUGACAUUCCACCCCUGAUUCUACAGCAUUAUAUCAUGCUUAAUAUAUAUACAUAGAACUACCGACUGCACUACCCCAACAUCAAAUUCUCUUGUGGUACACAUUGAACAUCCCCAUCUUUCUGCAUCACCCACCAAGUAGACACAGGUCCCUGGGCAAAAACAGUUCCACAAAGAGGUUUGCCCUUUCCAGAGGCUGGAAGGACCCAAACUGCUUUUCCCAACAUGUUCUUUACAUGUAUUACAGGGACCUUAUCUCCCUCUACAGUAUGUAGGGAGCUGGAUUGGGUAGGACCAUCAUGAUUGAUAGAUUCUCUAGUGUUGACCAACCAGGUGGCUUCGGCCAGAUGCUUCUCCCAGUGCUUAAAUGUUCCACCACCCAUUGCUUUCAACAUGUUUUUUAACACCCCGUUGUAUCGUUCAAUUUUACCAGAAGCUGGUGCGUGACAGGGAAUAUGAUAAAUCCAUUCAAUGCCAUGAUCUUUGACCCAAGUAUUUACAAGGGAAUUUUUGAA